rnacentral:rRNA from 1 species
GUGGGGAAUAUUGGACAAUGGGCGCAAGCCUGAUCCAGCCAUGCCGCGUGAGUGAUGAAGGCCUUAGGGUUGUAAAGCUCUUUUGUCCGGGAAGAUAAUGACUGUACCGGAAGAAUAAGCCCCGGCUAACUUCGUGCCAGCAGCCGCGGUAAUACGAAGGGGGCGAGCGUUAUUCGGAAUCACUGGGCGUAAAGCGUGCGUAGGCGGCUUUGCAAGUUGGGAGUGAAAGCCCAGGGCUCAACCCUGGAAUUGCUCUCAAAACUGCAAGGCUCGAAUUCGGGAGAGGAUAGCGGAAUUGUCAGUGUAGCAGUGAAAUGCGUAGAUAUUGACAGGAACACCAGUGGCGUAAGCGGCUAUCUGGACCGAUAUUGACGCUGAGGCACGAAAGCGUGGGGAUCAAACAGGAUUAGAAACCCCGGUAGUCC